GACGAACGCUGGCGGCGUGCUUAACACAUGCAAGUCGAACGGAAAGGCGCGGCUUUUGUGGGGUGCUCGAGUGGCGAACGGGUGAGUAACACGUGAGUAACCUGCCCUUGACUUUAUGAUAACUUCACGAAACUGGGGCUAAUACCGGAGAGGAGCUCCUGCUGCAUGUUGGGGGUUGGAAAGUUUCGGCGGUGGGGGAUGGACUCGCGGCUUAUCAGCUUGUUUGUGUGGUAGUGGCUUACCAAGGCUUUGACGGGUAGCCCGCCUGAGAGCGUGACCGGCCACAAUGGGACUGAGAUACGGAGCAGACUCGUACGGGAGGCAGCAGUGGAGAAUAUUGCACAACGGGCGGACGCCUGAUGCAGAAACGCCGCGUGCGGGAUGCCGGCCUUCGGGUUGUAAACAGCUUUCGCCUGUGACGAAGCGUGAGUGACGGUAACGGGUAAAGAAGCACCGGCUAACUACGUG
rnacentral:rRNA from 1 species